rnacentral:rRNA from 1 species
UACGUAGGUGGCAAGCGUUGUCCGGAAUUAUUGGGCGUAAAGCGCGCGCAGGCGGUCCUUUAAGUCUGAUGUGAAAGCCCACGGCGUCAACCGGUGGAGGGUCAUUGGAAACUGGCGAGCUUGAGUGUCGGAGAGGAGUGGCGGAAUGACCCCAAGUAGAGGUGAAAUUCGUAGAUAUGGGGUGGAACACCGGUGGCGAAGGCGGCCGAUCUGGGACGACCAACGUGACGCUGAGACGCGAAAGCGAUGGGGAGCAAACAGGG